CCUACGGGAGGCAGCAGUGGGGAAUAUUGCACAAUGGGGGAAACCCUGAUGCAGCGACGCCGCGUGAGUGAAGAAGUAAUUCGUUAUGUAAAGCUCUAUCAGCAGGGAAGAAAAUGACGGUACCUGAGUAAGAAGCCCCGGCUAACUACGUGCCAGCAGCCGCGGUAAUACGUAGGGGGCAAGCGUUAUCCGGAUUUACUGGGUGGAAAGGGAGCGUAGACGGCAGUGCAAGUCUGGAGUGAAAGGCGGGGGCUCAACCCCCGGACUGCUCUGGAAACUGUACGGCUGGAGUGCAGGAGAGGUAAGUGGAAUUCCUAGUGGAGCGGUGAAAUGCGUAGAUAUUAGGAGGAACACCAGUGGCGAAGGCGGCUUACUGGACUGUAACUGACGUUGAGGCUCGAAAGCGUGGGGAGCAAACAGGAUUAGAUACCCCAGUAGUC
rnacentral:rRNA from 1 species